rnacentral:tRNA from 3 species
GCGUCUGUAGCUCAGUUGGAUAGAGCAUUAGCUUCCGAAGCUAAAGGUCAGAAGUUCGAAUCUUCUCAGGCGCU